UUGUCCAUCGUCAGAGGGGCACUGCGUGGUGGACGCGGGAACGCCGGAAAAAGGAACAAGAAGAAGCUGUGCUCCGAGCGGCGGUGGUACACGGUGAAGGGUUAAAAAUACAUAUAUUCGGUGGUUCUAAUUCAAUGGGCAGCUGGCGUACGGCAAUUUACAUGAACGGUGCUCGACGACCCGACGACUCGACUCGACGAGGACAAUCCGUGCAUUGAGGGACUCGCAGUCGUGCAGAGCAGAGGAACGCGGUAAGAGAGCAACGUGCUGUUGUUGUAUGGGUUGGUUGCUGUCGGUUUACCGAUUCGUUUACUUGCCGGCACCGUUCGGUCGGGUCGAACGCUCCCGCUCUCAGUCAGUCUCGCGACCGCGUGCCAAGGGGAUGUCGUCGUUCUCCUCUUCCUUCCGUGAUCUCCACUAAGAUCGUGUGCCAGCCGUUUCACGGUUCGUUCUCUCUCUUACGAGACGAAUCGGUGGCGCGGCUAUGUGACGUGUGUUCAACGCUUUCGACAUCAAAGGAUCCCGUGCCAGUGUUUUCCCGGAAUCAGUGAGAACGAAGAAAGAGAAGACGUUCGACGUCGUCGUCAUUUUGCUUUGAAACUAUUUGAUGCAACGAGAUGGGCAGCGAGGCGGACGCGGAGACUAAGGCUGCCAACGCCGUCGAUUCGGAUGGAUCUGAUAGCUGGGAGGACUUUUUCGGAACCAGCACGGACCUGGUGUCCCAGCUCCUGGGCAUGUUCGACGAGCUCGCCCGUAGCGGCAAUGGCUACCCCGAUCACGUAGUCCUUCCAUCGUCCUGCAACAUACCACCGGUUCUGCAGAAGCGUCUAAGCCUGGUGUCCCAUCGUGGCUCCAUAUUCGGCUCGUUCUAUCCGGAAUUAGCGAAAUCACAGCAGGAGAACACGAUGAACGAGCAGCCGGUGGCGGAGAGCAACGUGGAAGUGGUGGUGGAAGAGGAUUUCGUGCUAGUUGAGAAAGAGAAUAAUGCCUUCCAGACUCUGGAGACUAGUCGUAAAGAGGAACGAAACGAGUGCAGCAGAAUCGAGGAGAAACCUUACAGACGGGAGAGCAAUGGACUCACGCCGCUUAGGUACAACAGACGAUGCAGAAACGCUGGAAGACCGUUGUCAGGGAGUUCAGUCGCGUCCAGCACUUCCUCCAGCGGGUGCAGUAACCAGGGGAACGCUUGCACCAGCAAUCCUUAUUUGACGUCCGUCGAGUCUCUGGCAGACACUUGUGCCAGCUCUCAAGGUUCUGGAGACAGUGGAGUAGUGACGGUAUCAGAGACCAAUUGUCGAAUAGGAAACGAUGACACUGGGCAAAGAAGAAACGGUGUGGAAGCAGGUUCACCGUGUCACAGGCCACGUUACUGUGAUCCCCAUCGAAACCCUAUGGAAAGGGUACUUUUAGAAAUAGUUGACACUGAAGCAAUAUACGUGGAACAUCUGCGACAAGUAAUUCAGGGUUACCUUAUAUAUUGGAGAAACGAUCCGGCAUCGUUCGUGCAUCAAAUGCAGCUGAGUGACUUAUUUAGUAAUAUCGAGGAUAUAUUUGAAUUCAAUAGAGAGUUCCUGAAAGAAAUUGAAAAAUGUGGUUUGGAUCCUGUUUGCGUGGCAAACACAUUUAUAAAGCAUAACUCAGGGUUCAAAGUGUACACAGAAUACUGUACCAAUUACCCAAGGACAGUUUCUGUUUUGACUGAUCUAAUGGGUCAAGAAGAGACUGCAAACGCGUUUCGAGAAAGACAAGCUGCGCUAGGACACGCCUUACCUCUUGGAUCCUUUCUUCUUAAGCCUGUUCAAAGGAUUCUUAAGUAUCAUUUACUUCUGGAGAACUUGUCGAAAGAGUACGGCGCGGAUUGCGAGUUACGAGAAAACGAGGCUGAAGGAAGCAAAGCGAUCGAGGCAGCUCUCGCUGCGAUGACUGGGAUCGCGAGGCAUAUUAACGCUAUGAAACGACGACACGAGCACGCGGUGCGUGUUCAAGAGAUUCAGUCGCUUCUGUAUGGCUGGUCUGGUCCAGAUUUAACUACGAGUGGAGAACUGGUGGCGGAAGGACGAUUCAGAAUUCGAGGAGCUAAAGCUCCUAGGCACGUUUUCUUGUUUGAUCGUAUGCUCCUGCUCACCAAGAAAAAGGAGGAUGGACUUCUAGUCUAUAAAGCUCACAUCAUGUGUUCAAACUUAAUGCUCAUUGAGAGCAUACCAGGAGAGUCUCUUAGCUUUCAUGUGAUUCCAUUUGAUAAUCCUCGAUUGCAAUACACGUUGCAGGCACGAAACUUGGAGCAAAAAAGAGAAUGGACAUUGCUAAUAAAAAGGGUAAUUCUUGAAAACUAUAACGCGGAGAUACCAUUGCACGCGCGACAAUUAGUUUUACAACUUGGUCAGACCCAGCCAGAAGAUGAUGCUUUAGCGGAUAGAGGAUCGGCGAAGAAGCAACACUCAGCGCCACCAGAGUAUUUAGAGAAACGUAAACAGGAAAGAGAAAGACGUAGGUCUGAAACCGGGCUUAGACAGAGAUUUAAAAAGAGUGGCAGAAAGUCUGAGACUACAACUGAGGACUCUCCAGCAUCGCCACGAAAAAAUCAAAACGACGAUUCGAAUAUUAACGAUUCUAGAGAGCAAGGUCUUAGGUCUUCGGAUGGACGCGGAUCAAAAGUGAAGGAUCGCUUUACCGGUUGGAGAAGAAAAUCGGAACCAGGUUUCCAAUCUUACGUGUGUCUCAAUCAGUCUGACGAGGAGCAAAAAGAAGAUACGUGUGACACGGGGUCAGCUACGGUCGAAACCGAGUGUGCGAUCAUUGAAAACGAUAAGCACGCAAAUUCUCCGCCGCCAGAAACCAAAGAGAACAACGAACAACAGACUCAAGCGCAGACGGUCGAGGAAAUAGUUGGACAUAUCCUCAUGCAGAACCAAGAAUUUCAAAAGCUCCUCGAGAAGCAGCGAACGAACAGUAUACUCAAUGUCAGGCAGCAGCAACGUUUCAAUAAACGUAUCUCUGCUGAUACGUCCGAUGACAGCGACUCGGAGAACACGAAUUACAUCACCGAUAAUUCAGUUAACAACAGGAUAUCGCGUAUCCGCGCAGGCCAUCGUGAAAGGUUUGUUAAAACAAACAACACUUUGAAUUCCUUAUCCUCUACGCGAGAUCACCAGCCCACCUUGCAAUUACUUUACGAUAAUUUAAACAAGACUGAGAAUAAUAAAUCAGUUGAAAGUAAUUCAAAAAACAAGAUGAACCAUGUGCAAGAGAAGAAAGCGUUGUUCGAUGCGUUUAAAAGGCAAAGUAUCGUGACUGAAAGUAAGAUCAUCCAAACUGCGCUUAGGAUAAGGGAGAAUUCAACGUCCAGGAGCGAAGAACCUGUGAAUCACCCGACUGUUCCAAACGAAACUGAAAUUCAGGUAACAGAAAAUGAUAAAGAAGUGACUAUAAAUAGUGACAACACGAACGAAGAUACCAGCCAAGCAGUUACACAAUCCAACAAAGGUUUUGGAAACUACGACAACUUGCAACACGUUUGGGAGGGUUUGCAAGAAGAGAAAGGUUUAGAUGGGAACGAUAGUCCGACCCGACCAGCAGUCUGGCUGACCAAACUAUGCGAAGGACUACCUACAUCUCCUCAGAAGUGUGGCUCCCUUCCUCGCAGUUUUCAAAUUCAUCCCAAUUCCAAUCAGAACGUAAUGAAAUCACGGUUCUUGCAGAGAGAUGGUAAGCCAAUGAGCGAAAGACCUUUCACGAUAGCCUCAGAUAAACCGGCAGAGAUUAAUUUGGAAGAUAUGGAGAGAUACGCUUCAGCCUGUCAACCAGAAGGAAGAAUCGCCAAAUUUCCCACGUCGGUAUCAACUUCUACUUCCACCUUCUUCUGUUCCUUGGAUGAUACAUUGACGGAUGCUUACUCUGAGGUUCACGUGACGUCAACGACCACCAACAUCCAUCCGGACCACAAGAUCUACAGGCCAAACGCUAAUGGAAGCACCAUUUUUAAAAACGUCCUCUCGAAAGCUGGGAACCGUCUUCAGGGUUUAAGGAACACAAUGAGCACAGAAACCUUGGAAUGCAACGAGGAAUUAGAAAGGACUAAGUACUUUCGCUCUUUAAGUACAGGUAAGUUGAAGAAGAAGAGUAAAUUAAAACAUUCAAGGGAAUCUUCGUCGGAUGUGGAAGAGCUUGUAGGAUGUACAGCGAGGGGAUCUUCGGAUUUAAGGAUCCCUUCGCUGUAUUACAAGCAGGGAAGCUCGGGUUUAGGUGCUCGUAUCGCUCAGUCUGAUUACGCAGACCCUUCCAUAUUGUUCUCGGAGAGUAAACGUCUUGGCCAACUCGCGAAUAAUUCCUCUGAAGCUAAUCAGGAAAAGAAGGAGGACGAAGAGAGCGUGGAGAACAGAGAAAGCGAAACGGACAGCUUUUACGAGAAAUCAUUCGAAACGAUUGAAAACUACGUGGACGCUGACGUGGACGACACGUUCCGGGAUAGUGCAAUAUUUAGCGACAUCGAGGAGGUUCUGGUAGCCAGGCCUCUUUCCGGUCAACCCUCAGAGGAAUGUGCACCGUUCAAGAGCAAAGUAGCUCCACCAAUCCCUGCUAAAAGGAGAACAGAGUCAACCACGAUGUUGAAUUCUUAUAAUGCUUCGACGAUGAAACCCAAACCAAGCGUUGCUCAAAAGCCCGAUUAUUUGAAAGUGAAGUCAGUGUUCUUAAAGGGACAACAAGAAUCAGACUGUAAAUCUCCAGUGAGAUCCCCUUUGAUCCCCGAAGAUCCAAUAACGUAUCAGUGUUCUAAAAGCAUUUUACAGAAUAGUUGUGCGCAGAAUAAUAGUGAAGAAAAAGACGAUGUGUCGGCAGGACAGAGUCAAGCAGGCUGGGUAAGAAAGAUAGUGGGUCAAUUCCAGGGUCACGUUGAAACGUAAUUCAUACCAAUGAAACUGUACAAAUUUUAUAACUGGGACUUGAAACGCGUGAAUUCCAUGUUUGUCUAAAACUAUAAGAAAGCAUGUUCAAAGAGGUCAAGUAGUCGUUGUCCAGUUGUCCAAAGUUUUAUCUUCGAUUGAUCUCCAAAGCAAAAUCUUUGAGAUUAUAUUUUUUAUUAGUACAAGGGAAUUGUUAAAGAAUGAGCAGGAUACAUACUAAGUAAAUUCAGAUGCUGCACUGGAAAACAUGAUAUGUACAUAAUGAGGGACUUUCCAUGAAAGUAGAUUACAAUUUUUAUAUUUCAUUCAUUUUCAGGUAUGCCAUUUUUUUGUUUUUUUCUUUUUCAUUUUAUUGCUAACAUUAAUCUUUGCACGAGAUUUUCAAUAAGUUUCUCUUUAUACUAGUUGUGCCUUGUGUAAACUAUUGCCCAGAUACGAUGUUCUAGUGUUGAAACACAUACAUAUGGUACAAGAUUGAAACAAAUACUGCCAAGCGUUUUGACAUAUCAUGUAAACUAGCGGUAAAUAGAGAGACACUACAAGCGAUACUUUCAAUUAAGAAAGGAUUCAAAAGUAACAUCCGGGGGUUUAUAUCCAAAGGUAGAUCCAAAUAUUACUUCAGGUAGGUUUUUUAUUAAGAGAAAUGUCUAUUUACAAGAGAUUUUCAGCUAGUCGUGUUUACAGAUACAAGAGUAAAUGAUAUACAAUGUCCAUCAUAAGUUAGCUACGCAAUACUGUAUGUAUAUAUAUAAAAUGAAACAAAAAUGACUAAAAGAUGAGAAAAGCUCGGAGAACUAAAAAAAAAAAAAGAUUAUUCAUUAUACACAUUAUAUACAACCGUAGUAACUAUAUGAUACACUUAAUUGUAGUAUUAUCUUGAAUUAGAGUCUGCCCUCUAAUCAGAAGAAGUCUUCUGAUCAAUCAUUAGUUUCGAUUAUGAAUAUUAAAUAUAGAGAAUAAAUUAAGGUUCAUAUCUUGUUUACUGAGUUUCUGCAGCAGAUGUUGUACAAAAAAAUGAUCUUCCUAACAUAGUAACAAAAUGAAAAUAUAACAACCACUUCAUGAAUUAUUAUAUGAAAUUAAAAUGCUUAAGAUUUCUAUAUUAAAAGGAACGUUUGAAAAACACUGUCUCAAAGAAAUGGAAAACUUGUAACGAUACCGUUAUCUUGUUUUCUUGUACAACAUCUCAUUGAGAAACUCCUUAAACCUGUAAUUCAUUUAUACGACAACGGUAUGCUUUUUCGGUGAUUCCACUUGCAAGAAUAAUUCCGUUAAAUCGUCGUUUCUAUUCGUGGCUAAAGCUUUGGUUAAUAACGCACUAUUAACAUAUUGACAAUCUUUAUAGUUUCUCCGUUGUAACCGCGCAAAAUAACGAAAUCGUUAUUCACGCUAAUCUUCUUUGAACUUACACUUGCUUUUCUCCCUCAAACUUUAUUAAAUAUAUAAUAUAUAUAUAUGUAUUUAUACUUAUAUAUAUAUCUCUCUUUUAUUUCGUAUCUCUUUGUCUCAUUCUCUCUAAAUCGUUUCAUCAUUUUUUUUACAAUAUGAUCUUAUCUCUUAAAAUAUUCUUCUCUUACGCAUACUUUCGUAAAAAAACAUAAUACAUAGCUGAAUAAAAACGUCGAAUCGGUUACAAUUAUUUUAACUUAACAAUAAUGAAACAGCACCUGUGAAAGUCUGUAGUAUCCUUAAAUCCUGAAAACGACCCUGUUUUUCAUAAAAGGCAUAAUAUUACCCGUUUCAUUGAUUAAUGUUAUGUAAAGAAAACAAAAAUUCUUUCUGCAACAAAAAGUAAAACAAGUUAGUCGCUUUCAGGAUCAAUUAGAAACAAAUAAUAACUUAAGAAUUUAACAGGAAUUUAUUCGUAAACUUACAAGAAACAAAUUUGUUCAUUAUUGAAUUUUAUUUUAAUAAGAACAUCAUUCUCUUCUUUCUCUUUUCUACUUAAAUUACUCAUACUGACCUUUAAUAAAAUACAACAAUGAACAAAAUUUUUUUUUUUAUAAUUUCAUGAACAUAGUCCUACAGUUUUGUUAGACAAAUUUUCUAUCUCCAUUCAUAAGUUAGAGGCAAAGCCACUGAUCUGGUCAAUAUGGACAGGUACAUUUUAUCGCUGUACUAGUUGUCCUACCACUAUGAGAAUCUACAUUUUGUGUACGUGUGUGAAUUAAAUAAAAAACUGUUGCUUUUAAAAUAUAACAUACAAAGUUUAUAACAUAAAAGAAUAUGAAAUUAUUGUACUAAUUUGUGUUUACUAUCAUUAAUAAUAAUAUAUUAUUAUUGUGUGAGACAUUAAAAAUAUUGCUCUUUUGCAUUGAAAGUGCUAAUUGUAUAUAAAUAUAAACUUUUUUAUGGAGUUUUUAAUGCUCAUAUACUGAUGGUUCAAUUCACACACUAUACAUAUACAUGAAGAUUUGAUAAAAAUUAAGUAUUUUCAGCUAUGCACUACAUUCAACAAAACACUCUCAGAGGUAUAUUUAAAAUUUUGUGGUCAUAAUUAGAAUAUGGAUAUGUAAAAUCUGCAUGUAAAAUGUUUCUGAGUUUCUGUGUCUACUAAAAUUUAUGUCUUCUAAUAAUUGGUCUGCCAUACAGUAUAUGUAUAAUUACUAUGUGUUUUUUUUUGUCUUUUAAUAUCUUUUUUUCAGCUGCUGUUAUUUGUAAGUAUUCUUCCUUUGGAUUUAGCCAAUAUACAUUUAAUUAUUUUUACGAUGUACAUUUGAUACCAUGAAUGAAAUUAUUGUCAUUGCAAUAAUACAAAAAUUUGCCAGGUAACGUUGCACUGUAAUUAUUUAUAAUAUCAGUGAAAUAAGUAUUCAACUCUACCGUAUGAAUGCUUUAUGCAGCAAUAUAAUAGCUAAUUAAAUGUUUUAUAUAUGAAAUUAAACAAAGAUAAAAAAAUCAGUAAGUUAUUUAUAUUUAGCUAAAUAAAUUUUCUUCCUGGCUACAUUACCAAUGUAGUUAUAUUUCUAUACAUGCGUUCAUUUAAACAGCUUGAAAAGCAUGUUAUAUAGAAUUUUCAUCUUUCACUGGCUCUAAUAAUCUAUAUCACACCAUUAUACAUUUUUUUUUUGUUUAUUUUCCAAAUUUAUAAAACAAGUUUUUUUAACUUCAUUUAAAAUUCAGGAAGAUACUGAUUAUCAAUUUGUUUAAUGAAAAUCAUUUACUUUUGAAAUGCUUGAGAAUAAAGGAAUAUAAACAAACUAGAAAAACUAUAAAUAUCUGUAGUUUAAUGCAACAAAGAAAAUUCAAAUACUAAUUACUAAACAAUAAUUCAUUCAUUUUUAAAUGCUGACAUGACAAGCAUUUAACAUCUCCUAUUGGUAUAUGCUUAAUAGCAAAUACAGGGAAGACAUUGCUUUAUAUACUUCUUUUACGAGACGAAUUCUCAAAUAAGCUGUCUUUGAUUAAAUACUUUGUAUUUGAUUGCUCAGGCAUUGAUUGUAAUAGCAUACUAAAUUGCUGACACAAAUGGAUGUAAAUGUGUUGCAACACGAAUCUAAUUAAUCAUAUUCCCUGAAAAAAACAUCUCUCUUGUCUUUAAACCCGAGUCUGUUUCUAUACAAUAUAUUAUUUUUUAAAAUUUACUAACAUUGCAGAUACUUUGAAAAUUCCUAUUAAUUUAAUGUUCAAAUGUAUGACUAUAUUUAAUAUGUGUAUAACGAAUACAUGCUUGUAAAUUAAUAGAUUUCGUGUAAUCAAUUAUCAUUUUGUGUAACUUGUGUGCAAGUGGAAAUGUUUAAAAAUGAUACUGAAAGAUAAUACAUAAGACAAGAGUGAUAUUUAAAAUGGUAAAGUGAACUAUCUUGGACAUAUCUGAACACAAUCAUUUCAAUUCUAUAAGACAUUGUCAGCGUAAAAUAUUCUUUUGCUAAACAAUUUUGUUGAAUUUCAUAGUAUCAUUAAAUAUUAAAUUAUGCACAUAAGUGGUAUAAAUAUAUGUCUGAGAAGCUUAAAAAAAUAUUAAUAUUUCAAUGCUGUGUAAUGUAUUUACCUUACACAUCUUCAAAAAUUAAGAAAAAAAAAAAAGAAACGCAAUUAAAUAGUUAUAAACUUUUCUAUUCAAUUCAAAUAUUGGAAUGUAAAAAAAUUAGUAUUGAACACAUACAGAAGUGUAUAUUAUACCACUUAUGUUUUCACUAUAAACACAUCAUUUUAUAUAACAUAAUUGUUCACCAUAAUGCAGUAAUAUUAUCAUAAGCAAUAAGCAGUCAAAUACUAUUUACUAUAAUAUACCGUUAUUAUAGUAAACCUUUAAUAGCAUAAUACUUUCUUUAAUAGUCUACUUUCUAUUUACACAGCAAAUUUUCAUAUAAAAUACCAAAAUAUUUUAACAUUUCCAAGAUAAUUUUACUUUGUCAAUCCUUCCUAGUUCAACUUACAUUUCAUCCCUGCCAUGAUAAAGCAAUCACUUUAACUUGUAAGAUAUCAAUGUAUUGACAAUGGAUGGAAAAGUGCUAGAACACUACUUAAUUUUAAAAUCUAAUAAUCCUAAAGAACCUUAGCAAAUAAAUAUUUAAUUUAUUUAAUUAAUGUAAUUGAACAUAAUAACUGCAUUUUGAGCUUUCUCAUGUUUAUAUAGUAUUCUUAUAGAUUUUAAAAAGCUUAUGAAUACUAUCAAGCAAUGCUUUAUUAGUACUUCUAGUCAAAUUACAUUAAAUUUAGAUAUUUCUAAUUUAAUUGAUGCUAACGCUAAAAUAGAAUUCUUCAUUGUUCUAAAAGAAAUAUUUUUAUUUUUCCGAUUUGAAUUUUAUUAAUCACUUGAAAUUCCAAAUGUCUUACUUCAGACAAAAAUGGAACUUAGUUUUAGACUUACUUCUAAACUAACGAUUAAUUAAUUUGUCUUUUAUUUUAUGCUACUUGAUAUAAUUUUUUCUUUUUUA